rnacentral:rRNA from 1 species
AUUGAACGCUGGCGGCAGGCCUAACACAUGCAAGUCGAACGAGUGGCGGACGGGUGAGUAAUGUCUGGGAAACUGCCUGAUGGAGGGGGAUAACUACUGGAAACGGUAGCUAAUACCGCAUACCAUUGGAUGCGCCCAGAUGGGUAUAGAUAGGAGGUGGGGUAACGGCUCACCUAGGCGACGAUCCCUAGCUGGUCUGAGAGGAUGACGAGCACCACCGGAACUGAGACACGGGCCAGAAGCCUACGUGCGUCAGCAGUGGGGAAUAUGUCACAAUGGUAGCAAGCCUGAUGCAGCCAUGCCGCGUUUGUGAAGAAGGCCUUCGGGUUGUAAAGCACUUUCAGCGGGGAGGCGUUACCCGCAGAAGAAGCACCGGCUAACUCCGUGCCAGCAGCCGCGGUAAUAC